rnacentral:lncRNA from 1 species
ACAGUCCGCCAGGGGCCGCGGCCCGGGCCCCGCUGGGGUUCCCGCACAGCCCGCGGCUCCGCCCCGAGAGGAUGCGCCCCCGCGCCCGCAUCCUUCCCGCACCCGCCCGCCUGGCCCCUGCCCUCUCCCGGGCCCCUGAGAGCGGCGCCCCUCCCGGCUCGCGGCCGCCCGGCCCGCUUGACAUACCAGAAAUAGCUGCACACAAUUGUACCUUUCCCGGCCAAGAAACCUCCCCCGCUGGGGAGCGCGGCCCGCCGCCCUCACCUGAGCCCCGGCCAGCUGAGCCCGCUACCCGCUCUCCCGCCGCGAUCCGGCCCAGCCGCCAGCUAAAGAAGUCACUUUCAAGAGAUCUGGAGAAGUAAGAUGGCCAAAUAAAAGCCUCUACCAAUCAUCCUCCCCACAGGAACACCAAAUUUAAGAACUAUCUACACAAAAAAGCACCUUCAUAAGAACCAAAAAUCAGGUGAGCAAUUACAGUAUAUUGUUUUAACUUAAAAUCACUGCAAGAGGCACUGAAGAGGGUAGAAAAAACAGUCUUGAAUUGCUGACACCAUCCUUCCCCUAUUCCCCAGCAGCAGUGAAUCUGUAUGCUUGGGGGAGGGAGAGUAGAGUGAUUAUGGGACUUUGCAUUGAAACUCAGUGCUGCCCUGUCACAGUGGAAAGCAACACUUGACAGAACUCAGCCAAUGCCCACAGAGGGAGCAUUUAGACCAGCCCUAGCCAGAGUGAAUUCAUCCAUCUCAGUGGCUGGAACUUGAGUUCUGGCAAGCUUUGCCAGUGCAGGCUCAACUGCUCUGGAAUCCUAAAUAAACUUGAAAGGAGAUCCAGGCAUCAAAGCCUGGACUUCGGGGGCACAUGACCUAGUGGGGGACAUCAACCAGAGCAGCCAAAGGAGGGUUUGCAGCACCCCUCCUCCAAGCCCAGGGAGCAUAGCUCACAGCUCUGAAAAACUCCUUCCUUCCACUUGAGGAAAGGGAAGAGUAGAGGACUUUGUCUUACAACUUGGAAACCAGCUCAGCCACAGUAGGAUAGUGCACAAGGCGGAGUCAUGAGACCCCCAUGCAAGAAGCUAGCUCCCAGAUGACAUUUCUAGACACGUGCUGGGCCAGAAAGGAUACUGUUGCCUUGAAGGGAAGACUUAAAAGCCCUUGGGCCCUGAAUAAUCAGCAGCAGUAGACAGGUAGUACAUGCCAUGGGCUUUGAGUGAGACUCUGAGAUGUGCUGGCUUCAGGUGUGACCCAGCACACUCCCAGCUAUGGUGGUAUGAGGAGAGACUCCUGCUUCAGAAAAACAGAGGGAAGAGUAAAAGGGGUAGUUUAGGUACCGCUCAACCAUAGUGGGAUGGAGCACCAAGAGGGCUCUUGUGGUCCCUGAUUCUAGGCCUUAGCUCUUGGACAGCAUUUCUGGACCUGACCUGGGCCAGAGAGGAGCUCACUGCCCUGAAGGAUAAGUCCCAGGCCUGGCAGCAAUCAACCACAAGCUGACUGAAGAGACCCUAGGGCUUCAGUGAACAUCAGUGGUAGCCAGGCAGUACUCACUAUAGGCUUGGGGUGGUGGUGGCCACAGAGAGAGACUCCCCUGCCUAUAAAAAGGGGAGGAAAGUGUGGGAAGAACUUUGUCUUGUGUUUUUUGUGCCAGCUAAGCCACAGAAGAAUAAAGCACCAGGUGGAUUUUAAGAUUUCCAACUCCAUGCCCUGGUCCCCAGAUGGCAUCUCUGGAUCCACCCAGUGCCCAGGGGCACUCACUAACAUGAACGGAAGGACACAACCUGGAUGGCUUUGCCACCUGUUGAUUGUAGAGCCCUAGGGCCUUAAGCAAACAUAGGUGGUAGCCAGGUAGCAGUUACACCAGGCCUGGGGCAAGACCCAGUGCUGUAUUGGUUUCAGGUCUGACCCAGCACAGUCCCAGUGGUGGUAGCCACAGGUGUUCUUGUGUUACCCAUCUCCCAGCUCCAGGCAGCUCAAAACAGAGAGGCAGGGGAAGGCCAUUUGUUUGGGAGAGAGUAAGGAAAGAGAACAAGAGUCUCUGCCCAGUAAUCCAGAGAAGUCUUCCAGAUCUUAUCCAAAACCACCAAGGUGGUACCUCUAUGAGUGUGCAAGAACCACAGUGUUACUAGGCUAAUGCAGAUAUGGUUGCAGUGACCACUUAGAUCACAACACCCAAGUCCCUUCAAAUACCUGGAAAGCCUUUCCAAGAAAGGUGGGCAAAAACAAGCACAGACUCUGAACACUACAACGAAUACCUAACUCUUCAAUGCUCAGACACCAAUGAACAUCCACAAGCAUCAAGAGAAUCCAGGAAAACAUGACUUCACUAAACCAAAUGAGGCACCAGGGACCAAGCCUGGAAGGACUGAGAUAUGUGACCUUUCAGAUAGAGAAUUCAAAAUAGCCGUUUUAAGGAAACUCAAAGAAAUUCAAGAUAACACACAGAAGGAAUUCAGAAUCCUAUCAGAUAAAUUUAACAAGGAAAUUGAAAUAAUUAAAAAGAAUCAAGCAGAAAUUCUGGAGUGGGGCCAGGUGCGGUGGCUCACACCUGUAAUCCCAGCACUUUGAGAGGCUGAGGCAGGCAGAUCGCUUGAGGUCAGGAGUUUGAGACCAGCCUGGCCAACAUGGUGAAACCCUGUGUCUACUAAAAAUACAGAAAUUAGCCAGGCGUGGUGGUGCAUGCCUAUAAUACCAGCUACUCGGGAGGCUGAGGCAGAAGAAUCGCUUGAACCCAGGAGGCAGAGGUUGCAGUGAGCCGAGAUCACCCCACUGCACUCCAGCUUGGGUGACAAAGUGAGAUUCCAUCUGGGGAAAAAAAAAAAAACAGGCUGGGCACAGUGGCUCAUGCCUGUAAUCCCAGCACUUUGGGAGGGUGAGGUGGGCGGAUCACCAGGUCAGGAGUACGAGACCAGCCUGGCCAACAUGGUGAAACCCCGUCUCUACUAAAAAUAUAAAAAUUAGCUGGGCAUGGUGGUGGGUGCCUGUAAUCCCAGCUACUCAGGAGGCUGAGGCAGGAGAAUCACUUGAAACCAAAAGGCGGAAGUUACAGUGAGCUGAGAUCGUGACACUGUACUCCAGCCUGGGUGAAAAAGCAAAAUUCCAUCUAAAAAAAAAAAAAAAAAGAAAGAAGUUCUGUAGUGGGAAAAUGCAACUAACAUACUGAAGAAUACAUUCUCAUAAUAGCAGAAUUGAUCAAGCAGAAAAAAGUGUAGAAUUUUUAUUAGUUUUCUCUUUGCUUAUUUGCUAGCUUGUUUACGCAAUGAGUGUUAAGUUGUUAUCUGUUUAAAAUAAUGAGUUAUAAGAUAGUAUUUGCAAGCCUCAUGGC